rnacentral:rRNA from 1 species
CCUACGGGAGGCAGCAGUGAGGAAUAUUGGUCAAUGGCCGGAAGGCUGAACCAGCCAUGCCGCGUGAAGGAAGAAGGAUCUAUGGUUUGUAAACUUCUUUUAUAGGGGAAUAAAGGUAUCCACGUGUGGAUAUUUGCAUGUACCCUAUGAAUAAGCAUCGGCUAACUCCGUGCCAGCAGCCGCGGUAAUACGGAGGAUGCGAGCGUUAUCCGGAUUUAUUGGGUUUAAAGGGUGCGUAGGUUGUUUUUUAAGUCAGCGGUGAAAGUUUGUGGCUCAACCAUAAAAUUGCCGUUGAAACUGGAAGACUUGAGUGUGUUUGAGGUAGGCGGAAUGCGUGGUGUAGCGGUGAAAUGCAUAGAUAUCACGCAGAACUCCGAUUGCGAAGGCAGCUUACUAAGCCAUAACUGACACUGAAGCACGAAAGCGUGGGGAGCAAACAGGAUUAGAUACCCCAGUAGUC